CUCUUAACAUCCUCAACAGCAAUAGGAAGAACCAUCUUAUUUUUCUCAAUCCUCUUGACGGCGACGCGAUCUCCAUUAGCUUUAUCAGUGGCAACAUAGGUGUAUCCAAAUUGGCCAUGACCCAAUAAUUUUCCGAUCACGUAUCGCCUAUCAAAAUCCUUGGCAUAUCCAAAAUCCGUGCGUUUACCACAUGGGAUCACCCCACCCUGUCGCCUGGAAGUCUGCUUCUCUUUCACCUUAUGCUGCUGCU
rnacentral:misc_RNA from 1 species